CAGCCUGCUUGUAUUUUGACAACGCUGUUUAUCUGUUGGAUGGUGCAGGAAGGAGCCAGCUGUUUCCCAUAAAGCUAUCUUGGGAAAUCACACCAGAGCUGUCUAGAGAGAACAUGCUAUCUGGUUCCACUACCAGGGGGUAGUUCCUGCUGAAAUUCCGGAGGAGGGUUUUCUAGAGAACAGGCCAAGACAUCAAGAAUGGUUGCUGCUGGCAGAUGUCAAAGUCAAUGCAGAUUGAGUCGGUGAAGAAGGGGAAACUCCUCUCUUUGGGGAGAAGGGGGGCGGCGGCUGCUUCCGGCCGUCGGUCACUAGUGUCCUGAGGAGUGUGACACGUUCGGUGACAGAGGGUCCUCGGAAUCUGAGGAUGACGGCCGUGAGGAGGGAAAGGAGACCUCGGCGAGUGCCGCCGGCAGCUGGUAUUUCACGUUGACUAAUUCCCCAUGAGAAGCAGUAAGAAAUUGUCCCCGAGAGAAACAAAUCCCUUUGAUGAUUAACAUUGGUUGGCAGCUUGAUAAAAUCUAGACUCGCCUCAUGUCUGUGAGGGUCUUUCUAUAAUGGGUUAAUAGAUAUGGAAGUCUCUCACUAAAAAUGACGGUCCAAUCCCAGAGCCUGGCAGCAGAGCCUCCUGACUACGGAUGCAGUGUUAUCAGUGCCGACCCUUCAACUGUGAGCCAUGGUGGACCCUCCCUUAGGCUGCGUUUCCCGGAUAUUCUGUAACAGCGAUGAGGAAAGUGACUACUGCCUGUCUCAGGAGAUGGAGUACUGGACACAGGCAAAGAGGCUGGAUGCCCCUGGAGGCUGGCCCGGGGGGAGAGAGGGGGCCUCCGGGAGUGAGCAUGAGCAGUGUAUCUCAGCCAAGCUUCCUUCUACAGGAGGAAGAAGAUUUUUGAGAGACCGGUGAGGGGAAAACAGUUAGACUGAGCUGUAUAUACUGAAGACACUGCAGCCUUUCCGAGUUGAUGUAGCAGGCUCACAGGCCUUAGCCCAACUGACUCCAUGAUGGAAGUGCCACUCAGGCUGUGAAACUCAGUAUGGAGACAGCACCACCAACCCAAAUGGAAAACAAAGACCUAGUCCAUCAAAGUCCUUAGUUCUUGGAAAGUCUCUAAAUGAACUGACCUUGCCAUUUGGCUUCUGGAGCUCUGCUUCUGGCUAACUGCUCUUGUUAACUGAAGUGUGUCAACCCAAGACAUCUUUUUUGUGCUUCAAAGCUCACCCUGAGAAAGGCUCAGUGAUACUCUGGGAUCCUGAACAUCCAGUGUAGAUGCCAGACAUCUAAUAAAGACUUUCUAUUGGCUUAAACCCAUGUCCAAGCAAUAUUCUCUGAAUACCCCACAACAGUUAAUACAUAGAAUAAAUUUUCACAGGCUCAUUCCUCAAUAAAUAGGAUAUUGGCAAAAGACAGCAGUCACAGAAAAGGACAUAAAACUAUUUUUCCCUACUUUCUACUACAUCGUAGCUGUUUUUCCUUGUGGUGGAUUUGAUUUUCUGAGUGUUAAAGUAGCAAGAACCAUUUUCACCUCCAAAGGAAUUCAACAUCUGUUCUUCCUUUGAGGUAUAAUUGUGAAAGUUAGGGGUUUUUUUUGUUUGUCUUAAAGAAAAAUUCCAUUGACCAUGAAUUCACUGGGAAUUAGAUGUGACAAGUCACUGAAUAUAUUUGUCACACUGACUCACUAAGAAAAGAAGUGAUCUAUUUUGGAAAGCUUGUUUUGGGCAGAGAGGCUUUGUAACCUAAAACUGUUCUCAUCCCCUUCUGUGUAAGACUCUAUCAGGCCUGGCAUGUUGGCACACACCCCUUUGAUCCCAGCACUUGGGAGGCAGAGGCAAGUGGAUCUCUAAGUUCAAAGCCAGCCUGGUCAUAAACAACAACAAUACCAACAACAAAGUCCAAUAAUCUACAGUCUCAUCAUCUUACAGGGUUAGUUAACAGUUAAACUGUACUGCUACAAUAAAAUAAAGUGCAUUCUUUUUAAAACUCACUGGAAAACAGAAGCAAAGCUGUCACAGUUGAUACAAAGGUGGAGAGGCCACAACGCCACCCAAGACUUCCUUUUUUAUUCCUGCCCGUGUUCCUCAAGGCACACAAUGGCAAACUUGUCCACAGUGGUUUGCCCAAGUCCCCUACUCACCAUGAUAGAGCGUGUGUUGCUGUAGAAGUCCUCCACUGGGAAAUCAAAGGAUGUUACAGAACUCUUCUCUCUUUAGUGUCUGCUGCCAGACAAGGCCACGGUCCGUCCAAGAAGAACAGUGGGGUUGACCACAAUGGUUGAGAAAUUGUUACAAGAUUUGCUUGGAUCCGAGGGAGUACACGCACUAAGUUACCGGAGAUUGGGGUGAAAUUUGUGGGGAGAGUGUUGCAGGGUCCCUUCCCAUCCUCUCAAUUCGGGGAACAGGGCUCCCAGGGGGCCACUUGGGGAGAUGGAUGUUCAUGUCUUUUAGUUGGCAGACACAGUCGACCGAGGGAGGACAAGGGAAGUUGAGGAGCUGCUUUUCUGUGGAGAGGGGCUGGGCUUCUGGGAAGAGGGAAAAAAUGUGUAUAUGUGUGAAUGGGACUAUAUGUAUGUAAGUGCGUGCGUGCGUGCGUGCGUGCGUGUGUGUGUGUGUGUGUGUGUGUGUGUGUGUGUAGUGAGCAUGCCCACACGAUAGCACAUGUGUGGAGGUCGGAUUCCAGGGGUCAAACUGAGGUCCUCAGACAGUGGCUAACACCUGCUGAGCCCUAAAAAUCUGUGUUUUUUAACAAAGUAAGGAAAGGGGAAGAAAACGGCCAACAAUUCAGAUCAUCACCACGGCCUGGCAGGCAUGCCCAAACUUUUGACUCUGUGACACAAUAUUGCCAUCUACAAAGUUCGCCCCCUGAGAAUCUCGCCAUCAAGUACGAAAGCUAAAAACAAACCAGCAAAACCUCUCACAGUGUUUUAAUAGUUUACGGUUUUAGGUUGAGCUGCACUUGUAGCUGCCUCUGGCCACGUGCUUCAGCUGCAGAGUGGACAUGCCUGGAACCUUUCCCGGCCUGCAAGAGGCUGAAUGGCUCACUCUGUCUCGAUCCAGGAUCCAGUCGCUGGGAGUCCCAUUGCUGCUGUUCUCGGAAACAAGCUGCUCCAACUCACAGCAGCAAGGCAGAAAAGCCUGUUCCCCAGAUAGCUGGCUCCCAAAGGAAGGACAGUGGGACGGCCUUCCCGGUGCUCCUCCUGACCUCAGAUCCAGUAGCUCUGUGUCACCCGACAGAAAAUGGAUGGACCUUCAGCAGGGCAGAAAGUGUCUUCCUGUUCAGGACCCUAGAGGUGGAGCCUGGCCCCUUAGACCAGAAAGGAUGGUCGGGAUCCUCACCUUUGGGGCGGUGGAAGGACACAGUGGUUGUGGUGCGGAUUCAGAAUGUCUUCAGUAGAAAAGGAAAAGGGAGGUCUUGAUACGACAUCACCCAGAGCCUGAGGCUGUCUGCUCCGUGGGCCUCCCGUCCUCACAGUGAAGUGUCCUGGGGCGCCUCACAGCUACGGCUCCAGCUUGGGUUCCAUCCUCUUGGCGCACAGACACCUGUGAGGUACUUGCCUGUACUCCCACUGGUUUCACCAUGAGGAUGAGCUCCCACAGGACAGCACCAGCUAGAUGCUACCCCCCCUGCCCCCCACAUUCUGGAAGAAGUGGUUGCAUGGAAUGUACCAAGUGCAACGGAGUAAACAGACGGCAACAAAC